CUUAUACACUUUUAUGUAUUCUACGGAUUAUGUAUAUGUAUCUUUGAAUAUAAAAAACACAUCAAUCACCAGGAAACAAAAGAUGCUUGCCCCGAUGCUAUUCAAAUUUCAGUUUUGAAAUUCAAAAUUACAGUGCAUUAUCUCUUCCUCUUUCUCUUUCUUUUUGUCAUCUUUCUUUCUGUAAUUUUUUAUGAACUUGAAUUGCAAACUAAUAAUUGUUAAUUCCUGCAGAUGAUGACGGUGAUACCUACGAUGAUACACACAGUCACACAUAAUACAACUGAUUUUGUUUUUUUUACUAUUUCUCUGUAUUUUCGGUAUACCUCAGGUUUUUGUUAUCUGAAACUGAUUACUAAUUAUGAUUGUUCGAUCUUUUUCAGAUGAUGAUUAACGAUAUGCAGAUGUUUGGAUGUUGAGGGAUAGCCACGGUCAUUAUUUUUGUGAAAUCUUGGUUGUAUGAAUAUUUUUUUUGUCAUCACUGAUCCUAGGCUUCUGGACCCCAUUAUUUUCGCAUGUGAUAGCUUCUUGGAGUUGAUAGGGCAUGGCCUGCGUGUAAAAUAUUUUUGACCUGGGGGUUACAUAUCAAAAGUUUUUAUGAUAAGACAAUACCUACAUAAUUUGAUGUGUUUUGAUGUUGUUUUUGCCAGGUUUUGGAUCCAUGAAUUCAAGAGAUAAGUUUAAAGUACUUCAAGUACCAAAAUCUUCUAAAAGAGUUUCUGAAUCAUGCAGAAAAGUGUGGAAAAGCAAAGCUCAUUAAUGAGAACGGAGAACCAAAUAUUACACUCAUAGAAUAGUACAAAUUAAAAUGCUUUCAACCUUUUCUAUUUAUAUGCACAAUCAGAUAGAGGGCCAAGCAUAGCUGCUAUAUCUGCAUAUCAUGAAUGGGAUGCAGAUUAUUUGCUGAA